AUUGAACGCUGGCGGCAGGCCUAACACAUGCAAGUCGAACGGUAACAGAAAGCAGCUUGCUGCUUUGCUGACGAGUGGCGGACGGGUGAGUAAUGUCUGGGAAACUGCCUGAUGGAGGGGGAUAACUACUGGAAACGGUAGCUAAUACCGCAUAACGUCGCAAGACCAAAGAGGGGGACCUUCGGGCCUCUUGCCAUCGGAUGUGCCCAGAUGGGAUUAGCUGUAGGUGGGGUAAAGGCUCACCUAGGCGACGAUCCCUAGCUGGUCUGAGAGGAUGACCAGCCACACUGGAACUGAGACACGGUCCAGACUCCUACGGGAGGCAGCAGUGGGGAAUAUUGCACAAUGGGCGCAAGCCUGAUGCAGCCAUGCCGCGUGUAUGAAGAAGGCCUUCGGGUUGUAAAGUACUUUCAGCGGGGAGGAAGGGAGUAAAGUUAAUACCUUUGCUCAUUGACGUUACCCGCAGAAGAAGCACCGGCUAACUCCGUG
rnacentral:rRNA from 1 species